GAGGGUAUAGCUCAGUGGUAGAGUGUGUACCUAGCACGCACAAGGUCCUGGGUUCAAUUACCAGUACUGCCA
rnacentral:tRNA from 1 species